rnacentral:rRNA from 1 species
AUUGAACGCUGGCGGCAUGCCUUACACAUGCAAGUCGAACGGCAGCACGGGAGCAAUCCUGGUGGCGAGUGGCGAACGGGUGAGUAAUGUAUCGGAACGUGCCCAGUCGUGGGGGAUAACGUAGCGAAAGCUACGCUAAUACCGCAUACGAUCUGUGGAUGAAAGCGGGGGACCGUAAGGCCUCGCGCGAUUGGAGCGGCCGAUAUCAGAUUAGGUAGUUGGUGGGGUAAAGGCCUACCAAGCCGACGAUCUGUAGCUGGUCUGAGAGGACGACCAGCCACACUGGGACUGAGACACGGCCCAGACUCCGACGGGAGGCAGCAGUGGGGAAUUUUGGACAAUGGGCGCAAGCCUGAUUCAGCAAUGCCGCGUGCAGGAUGAAGGCCCUCGGGUUGUAAACUGCUUUUGUACGGAGCGAAAAGGCUCUCUCUAAUACAGGGGGCUCAUGACGGUACCGUAAGAAUAAGCACCGGCUAACUACGUGCCAGCCGCCGCAGUAACAC